GUGCAGAGGGAGGUCUUCAUAGGGUUGCUACUGGUACAUACGCAAAAUCCUCUCACGCUAAGUAAUAUAAGUAUUACUGACAAAGUGAUAAUCACCAAAAGACUUAAAAACAGAAGCCAUUACUAGGAGAUCAGAACUCAAGAGUUGCAAGAGAUAGAAAGUCUAACUUGGACUGACUGACUAAGCAAAAAAAGGAAUUUAUUAGCUUGCUUACAUAACCAAGAAGUGCAGGAAGCAGAUCUGGCUCUGGGCAUGGCUGGAUCCAAGGUUUCCAAUGAAGUCAUUAAGGCUUGGUCGCUCUCCAUGUCCCCGCUCUGUUACCCUCCUUGUAGCCAAAACCAAGUUGGAAGUUGAGACUCAUUUUGACCGAGCGCAGUGCAGCGCCAGAGCUGGAGGGGCCUCGGUGGGGUGGCUGGGGGUGCUCCCGAGGCUCCUCCCACCACAAACAAUUCGCUAAGAACUUCCUGCCAUGAACCUGUGACAAUGCCGAAGACCCUUCGUCUUUGGGUCCUGGGCUUAUUCCUAUCCCCCCGCUGGGAUCUCAGGAAGAGGGGGAAACGGGAACCCCAAAGGGCCCUGUGGCUUCCCCUGACCUGCUCUGGGGUUCUGCUCCGGACCGAGCACUCCUGGCUGGAAACAAACACCAGCGAGGCAGGGAGGGCACGUGCCCUGGAGGCACCCGGAGCUAUGGAGGCGGAGCGAACCCCAGGUGUCUGGUAAAGUGAGGCACUCAGCCAGCUGGGGGGAGGUGGCCAGGGGCCCUCCGAGGUGUUUGGAGGGCCCCCCUUAUUUAUUUCCUACGUUUGGAAGUUGCCCCAGACCUGGCGUCCAGUGGAGAUCCUAGGCUAGGGCAUGAGAAGCAACAACUGACUCACCCUGGUGGGGCCUCCAAGUGUGGGAUCCUGCUGGUCUGGCCCUGGUUCUUGAGACAGUCGUCCUGGGACAGCGACUACUGCAUCGGAACAAGUGUGCAGCCAGCGAGAUGAGAAGCAGCAGCGUCACAGCCCCUAAGAGGGCCCACAAUCCCCAGGCCUGGGGGAAGGAGGGAAUUCCUGUGGAUGUGAGAGAAUAGAGGGGUACCUGACUUUUCUCUCCAGUUCUGAGUCUCGUGAGGAGAAUGUGCUUCUGGGUGAACAUGCUAUAACGUGGAAUGGGAUUGGGAGGUCUCCUGAUUGCAUUAGUGUGCCAAGGAUGGGAAUGGCAUGAGAGGUCUGACCCUCCAGCUGCAAGCAAUAAGAGGGUAUCAUCUGUAGAGAAUUUUAAGACAAAACCUACUAAAAAUCGGUCUCCAUUUUAUCACCACCAUGUUCCAGCAAUUCUAACAAAUGUCAGUAAUAAAGCACUCCUCUCU